rnacentral:rRNA from 1 species
UAGGGAAUUUUGCACAAUGGGGGAAACCCUGAUGCAGCGACGCCGUGUGAGUGAUGAAGGCCUUCGGGUCGUAAAGCUCUGUCGAACGGGACGAAUCGAUUUGGUUCAAAUAGGGCCGAAUUCUGACGGUACCGUUAAAGGAAGCACCGGCUAACUACGUGCCAGCAGCCGCGGUAAUACGUAGGGUGCCAGCGUUGUUCGGAAUUACUGGGCGUAAAGGGCGUGUAGGCGGUUUAUUAAGUCAGGUGUGAAAUCCCACAGCUUAACUGUGGAACUGCGCUUGAUACUGGUAAACUAGAAUGCGGAAUAGGGUGAUGGAAUUCCUAGUGUAGUGGUGAAAUACGUAGAGAUUAGGAGGGAUACCAGAGGCGAAGGCGGUCACCUGGGCCUGCAUUGACGCUGAGGCGCGAAAGCAAGGGGAGCAAACAGG